rnacentral:lncRNA from 1 species
AAAGCUUACACAACUCCUUGACCUAUAGAAGAAAACCGUUAGUGGCCAAGAUGCUAAAUGAGAUCCGAUGGCAACAGAGUCCUUAAACUUGCACAGUACUCAUCAAACCCCAAAACUAUUAUCAGUAAUAAAGGCAAUGCCAAAGUACCUGUGUCGAUGUCAAUUGGCAGUCAAACUUAUUCCUUGUAAAAUAGUUGUUCUUGAUUACCAUCUUGAAUUUCUCCUCAGCCAAGGGCAAACAAUCCUCUAAAACAGUAAAUCGGACCUAACAUGGUAUACAGGUUUCAAUCAAAAUCGAGAUCAUAUAAUGCCUUGUCCUCAUUCAACUGUUGAUAGUAUUUUCAGUGGAGGUACAUUAUACAACCCAUGAGGUAAAUUAUCAUUACCAAAACAUAUACAUGCCCAAUGCUUAUUUCUGAGACUCUCCUCUGACAAUUAUGAACUUACGAGGAAGUUACAUCAAGCAUUGUACUAUUAAAAACAUGAAAAAGUUAAAAUAGUUUCAGUAUACAAUCAGUCAAAGGCCACAUUAAAAGCAAAAAUAAACACCUGCAUGAUGAACUUGGCAAGAUGACACUUAAUAGUAUGAUUUUAUUGACCACUAGACGUUUUGUGCCAUACAGAUAAUGUUCUUUUAUAACAAAAUUGUCAGUGUUGAUCACAUAUGCACAAUCUAGAGUAAUUUCAUAAACCACUCUAUCACAACCCAUGGAAUUGAUCGAAUAAAAGAAGCUACAGUACACCAUGGAGCAUGAGCAGAUGCAGAAAUCUAGAAAUUAACAAGGAUAUUAAAAGGAUACUUAAUACAACUGAUAUCCCAUUAUAAGUUGAAAGAGACGCAUCAAUUUUAUUUUUUUUGGCCUAAUGAACUUCUGAUUUAUUGCUAAAAUGUCAAUAUUAAAUGUGUGAAACUCCUUGCAGUUGGUCAGUGGCCCGAAGAAAUGGAAGAGGCAGUUACUUUAGGAAAAGAAGCAAUCGAGAUAUGGAGUGAUAUCAACCGGAUUACCAAGGACUUCUGAUGUAGGGGAAUAAUUAUUUGCUGUAGGGGGAAUAACU